rnacentral:rRNA from 1 species
UACGAAGGGGGCUAGCGUUGUUCGGAAUUACUGGGCGUAAAGCGCGUGUAGGCGGGGCUUUAAGUCAGGGGGGAAAUGCCAAGGCUCAACCUUGGAACUGCCUUUGAUACUGGAGAUCUUGAGUCCGGGAGAGGUGAGUGGAAUUGCGAGUAUAGAGGUGAAAUUCGUAGAUAUUCGCAAGAACACCAGUGGCGAAGGCGGCUCACUGGCCCGGAACUGACGCUGAGACGCGAAAGCGUGGGGAGCAAACAGG